GAAAUGCGAUAAGUAGUGUGACUUGCAGAAUUCAGUGAAUCAUCGAAUCUUUGAACGCACAUUGCGCUCUCUGGCAUUCCGGAGAGCAUGCCUGUUUGAGUAUCAGUAAAUCCUCUCAAAACCCGAAUUUCUUUUUGGUUUUGGAAUUGAGUUAUCCCAUUCCAGCAAAAGGCGGGUAUUUGCGGCGGCGGGUCUUCGGAUUCUUCGUUCAGUCUUCCGCGUUUAGCACUUGGAAAAAGGGUUACUUUAAAGACAUUCGUAUGGUGGCUUCGGAC
rnacentral:misc_RNA from 1 species